UGGGGAAUAUUGCACAAUGGGCGCAAGCCUGAUGCAGCCAUGCCGCGUGUAUGAAGAAGGCCUUCGGGUUGUAGAGUACUUUCAGCGGGGAGGAAGGCGAUAAGGUUAAUAACCUUGUCGAUUGACGUUACCCGCAGAAGAAGCACCGGCUAACUCCGUGCCAGCAGCCGCGGUAAUACGGAGGGUGCAAGCGUUAAUCGGAAUUACUGGGCGUAAGGCGCACGCAGGCGGUCUGUCAAGUCGGAUGUGAAAUCCCCGGGCUCAACCUGGGAACUGCAUUCGAAACUGGCAGGCUAGAGUCUUGUAGAGGGGGGUAGAAUUCCAGGUGUAGCGGUGAAAUGCGUAGAGAUCUGGAGGAAUACCGGUGGCGAAGGCGGCCCCCUGGACAAAGACUGACGCUCAGGUGCGAAAGCGUGGGGAGCAAACA
rnacentral:rRNA from 1 species